rnacentral:lncRNA from 1 species
AUGGCCGCCGUUUCUUUCUACCAAAACCAGCUUAUGUAUUUGUUCUUCUGUUUGUAAAAUAUGUUUUUGUCAUCGUUACUUUUAUAUUUUCUUGUCUGAUGUUUUCGAUUUGACUAUUGUUGUUUUGACGGAGGAAGGGGAUGUGAGAUGUGGUUUUCUCUGUGAUGAUGAAAACGAUGACGAGUCUGAUAAUCCAUUCUUUACAAUACUGACGACAAAUCGAGGCAUUUGUCUGAGAGGAUUCCACUCUUUCUUCCGUUUUUUAUUUUUUUGGCGUUGUUUAAUUUUAUGCCUGUUGUUUGUUAUUUUAAAUUUUAUUUUGUGCCUUUUGAAUCUAGGCAUGGUGAUGAUUGUUUAUUGUCAUCUGAUGAAUCAUUUGAUGAAUUCCAAACCUCCUACUCAUUCUGAAUGCCUAUUGUUUUUUCGUUUUAGUGUUUUUUUUUAUUUUUUAUGGAGAAGGUAGAGAAAGACGAUAUGGUGGCUGUGAUGAGAGGUACAUUUUUUUUGUGUUGAGAUUAUCGAUGAUUGCAUUUC